rnacentral:rRNA from 1 species
AUUGAACGCUGGCGGCAGGCCUAACACAUGCAAGUCGAACGGUAGCACAGAGAGCUUGCUCUCGGGUGACGAGUGGCGGACGGGUGAGUAACGUCUGGGAAACUGCCCGAUGGAGGGGGAUAACUACUGGAAACGGUAGCUAAUACCGCAUAACGUCACAAGACCAAAGUGGGGGACCUACGGGCCUCACACCAUCGGAUGUGCCCAGAUGGGAUUAGCUAGUAGGUGGGGUAAUGGCUCACCUAGGCGACGAUCCCUAGCUGGUCUGAGAGGAUGACCAGCCACACUGGAACUGAGACACGGUCCAGACUCCUACGGGAGGCAGCAGUGGGGAAUAUUGCACAAUGGGCGCAAGCCUGAUGCAGCCAUGCCGCGUGUAUGAAGAAGGCCUUCGGGUUGUAAAGUACUUUCAGCGGGGAGGAAGGCGGUGAAGUUAAUAGCUUCACCGAUUGACGUUACCCGCAGAAGAAGCACCGGCUAACUCCGUGCCAGCCGCCGCGGUAA